rnacentral:rRNA from 1 species
ACGCACGCUGGCGGCGUGCCUCAUCCAUGCAAGUUGAGCGCUGAAGGUUGGUACUUGUACCAACUGGAUGAGCAGCGAACGGGUGAGUAACGCGUGGGGAAUCUGCCUUUGAGCGGGGGACAACAUUUGGAAACGAAUGCUAAUACCGCAUAAAAACUUUAAACACAAGUUUUAAGUUUGAAAGAUGCAAUUGCAUCACUCAAAGAUGAUCCCGCGUUGUAUUAGCUAGUUGGUGAGGUAAAGGCUCACCAAGGCGAUGAUACAUAGCCGACCUGAGAGGGUGAUCGGCCACAUUGGGACUGAGACACGGCCCAAACUCCUACGGGAGGCAGCAGUAGGGAAUCUUCGGCAAUGGACGAAAGUCUGACCGAGCAACGCCGCGUGAGUGAAGAAGGUUUUCGGAUCGUAAAACUCUGUUGGUAGAGAAGAACGUUGGUGAGAGUGGAAAGCUCAUCAAGUGACGGUAACUACCCAGAAAGGGACGGCUAACUACGUG